rnacentral:rRNA from 1 species
AUUGAACGCUGGCGGCAUGCUUUACACAUGCAAGUCGAACGGCAGCGCGGGCUUCGGCCUGGCGGCGAGUGGCGAACGGGUGAGUAAUACAUCGGAACGUGCCCAGUAGUGGGGGAUAGCUCGGCGCAAGCCGGAUUAAUACCGCAUACGACCUGAGGGUGAAAGCGGGGGAUCUUCGGACCUCGCGCUAUUGGAGCGGCCGCUGGCAGAUUAGCUAGUUGGUGGGGUAAAGGCCUACCAAGGCGACGAUCUGUAGCUGGUCUGAGAGGACGACCAGCCACACUGGAACUGAGACACGGCCCAGACUCCUACGGGAGGCAGCAGUGGGGAAUUUUGGACAAUGGGCGAAAGCCUGAUCCAGCAAUGCCGCGUGUGUGAUGAAGGCCUUCGGGUUGUAAAGCACUUUUGGCGGGAACGAAAAGGACUGUGCCAAUACCACGGUUCGAUGACGGUACCCGCAGAAUAAGCACCGGCUAACUACGUG